rnacentral:misc_RNA from 1 species
GAAAUGCGAUAAGUAGUGUGAAUUGCAGAAUUCAGUUAAUCAUCGAAUCUUUGAACGCACAUUGCGCCCUUUGGUAUUCCUUAGGGCAUGCCUGUUCGAGCGUCAUCUAAACCUUCAAGCCCUGCUUGGUGUUGGGUGCCUGUCCCGCCUCCGCGCGCGGACUCACCUCAAAUCCAUUGGCGGCCCCCGCGUCGGCCACGAGCGCAGCAGAAACGCGAACUCGUGAGCCCGUCCGGGCGGCUCCCAGAAGCUACACCCACCCAGUUUGACCUCGGCUCAGGUAGGGAUACGCGCAGAACUUAAGC